rnacentral:rRNA from 1 species
GUGGGGAAUUUUGCGCAAUGGGGGAAACCCUGACGCAGCAACGCCGCGUGAGUGAUGAAGGCCUUCGGGUCGUAAAGCUCUUUUAGUGGGGAAGAAUCCCUUUCGGGCUAAUACCUCGGGAGGAUGACGGUACCCACAGAAAAAGUUCCGGCUAACUACGUGCCAGCAGCCGCGGUAAUACGUAGGGAGCAAGCGUUGUUCGGAAUUAUUGGGCGUAAAGAGCGCGUAGGCGGUUCGGUAAGUCUGACGUGAAAUCCCGGAGCUCAACUCCGGAACUGCGUUGGAUACUGCCGAGCUUGAGUGUGGGAGAGGAGAGUGGAAUUCCCAGUGUAGAGGUGAAAUUCGUAGAUAUUGGGAGGAACACCCGUGGCGAAGGCGGCUCUCUGGACCACAACUGACGCUGAGGCGCGAAAGCUAGGGUAGCAAACGGGAUUAGAAACCCUUGUAGUCC